CUAAGAAAUAGAGGUCGCGGAAACGACGAACGCUGAGGAGUGCCUGUCACGUUGAAUCAGCCGUAAGCGAAUCCGCCGAAACGCAUUCUGCCACAGGGGCAGGGCGCGUUGGGCCAGUUUGGGGAAACCCGCUGGACUGUCGAAGCCUAGCUUCGGAGCGCUAUGAUUCUG
rnacentral:ncRNA from 2 species